GUUUGGAGAAGAGAGACAGAGAGUUGCAGAGAAUACUGAUGACAGGAGCAAGCAAGAAGCCAUGAACGAAGCUGAAGCUCUCAGAACUGAAACCAAAACGGAUCCAUCGAACAACCCUUUUAUCUGCAUCCUCUACCCCGCCAUGAGGGACACUUUCUCUAUCUAGAUAGCACCUUUCUACCUUCUUCUCUUCUCUUUUCUUCCUCAAUCCAUUUAUUAAUUCACCAAAUGUGUGACUGAGGGAGAGAGAAAGUAGAAUACAAGAACGAAAAGCGUAACAUGGCGACGUACUUUCAUGGAAGCACUUCGGAGAUUCAAUCUUCUGCAGAUGGCUUGCAAACGCUUUACCUUAUGAACCCAUCUUACGUACCUUAUGCUGACGCGCCGCACCACCCGACACUUCUCGUCAAUCCCAACGCUACCAACGCGCUCAACCUCGCGAGUCUCACCCACGCGCCGCCGGUGUCGCCUUCCCCCAACCAGCAGCAGCACGUGAUUCACGGCAUGGCAAACAUCCUCGGAUCCGGGAAUUCCGAUGAGCACGCUCACAGCCGACUGUCGUUGUUCGGGGAAAACAUCGCCGCCUUCCACGGUUUCUCCGGCGGGGCAUCCUCCGCCGCCCCUCGCGUUCACUAUAACCUCUGGGGCUCGGGGGUUGAUCAACCUGGAACGCCUUCUAGCAGCUCCGGCGGUGGCGGUUUCCGGCGGCCCAGUCAGCAGGGGUUGUCUCUCAGCCUUUCUUCACAGCAAACAAAUUUCAGGUCAGUUUCUGGGGAGCUUGAUAUUGCCGGACAGGGCCACGUCGCCGGAACUGGGAACUCGCCGACGUCGGCUGCGUCAACAGGAGUUUCCGGCCUGAUUCUGGGGUCGAAGUAUCUGAAGGCGGCGCAGGAGCUUCUGGAUGAAGUUGUUAACGUAGGAAAAGGAAUCUACAAAGAGGAAAAGUUCUCAGAGAAGGUGAAAGCGAAUAGAGAAUCUACUAAUUCUGGUGCUGGUGGUGGCGAUGGUUCGAGUGGUGGAGGAGAAAACAGUGCAGGAAAACAAGUGGUCGAACUCAGCACCGCUCAAAGGCAAGAACUUCAGAUGAAGAAGUCCAAGCUUGUCAACAUGCUCGAUGAGGUGGAACAAAGGUACAGGCAAUAUCACCACCAAAUGCAAAUUGUGGUAUCAUCAUUUGAGCAAGCUGCAGGUUAUGGGGCUGCAAAAUCAUACACUGCCCUUGCCCUAAAGACUAUCUCAAAGCAAUUCCGGUGCCUUAAAGAUGCAAUCUCUGCGCAAAUCAAAGCCACGAGCAAGACAUUGGGUGAAGAUGAUUGCUUGGGAGUGAAAGUAGAAGGGUCAAGGCUUAGGUAUGUUGACCACCAUCUCAGGCAACAAAGGGCACUGCAGCAGCUAGGAAUGAUUCAGCCCAAUGCAUGGAGGCCACAAAGAGGCUUGCCAGAACGAGCCGUUUCCAUUCUUCGCGCUUGGCUUUUUGAGCAUUUUCUUCACCCCUAUCCAAAGGACUCAGAUAAAGUCAUGCUUGCUAAGCAAACUGGACUGGCUAGAAGCCAGGUGUCAAACUGGUUUAUCAAUGCCCGGGUUCGGCUGUGGAAGCCGAUGGUGGAAGAAAUGUACAUGGAAGAAAUGAAAGAUCACGAACAAGCUAACGGCUCAGAAAACACCAGAUCAAAAGAAUUGAGCAAAGAAGCAAAUGUUGCAGCAGAAUCAGGAGGCAUUAAACUAGAUAACUUUCAACCAAAGCAAGAUAGCUUCAACAACCAAAACACUUCUCCAAAUGAAAUCUCAGCAAAUUCUUCAAUGUCUCCUAUCGGAGGGUCCCUUCAAUCCCACUCUGGUUUCCAUCUUGCAGGAUCAUCUGAGGUGCAAACGAGUCCAAACAAACCCAGAAGAUCGGAAAUGCAAAACUCUCCAAGUAGUAUCCUCUCAGUGGACAUGGAAAUGAAGCAUAAUGGUGAACAUGCAAAUACCAGAGAAGGCAACACAAAGUUCGGCAUCGAAAGGCACGACAAAGAUGGAUACCCUUUGAUGAGUGGCAAUGCAAACCAUGGCGGGGGUUUUGGAGCGUUCACCAUGGAAGACAUUGGAAACAGAUUCAACGUGAGUACUGAGCAACUGGCUUCAAGGUUCCAUGGAAAUGGUGUUUCUCUCACACUAGGCCUUCCCCACAACGAAAACCUUUCUAUGUCAGGAACUUCGCAUGGAUUUCUCUCACAGAAUAUUCAUUUGGGAAGGAGACUUGAGAUGGGAACGAGUGGGAAUGAGUUUUGUGCCAUCAACACUCCUCCUUCGUCUCACUCAGGAACAACCUAUGAGAGCAUUGACAUUCAAAACAGAAAGAGAGGCAGCAUGAAUGAGAGGGAGUAUAAGGAUAUGCGUAAUAUUUUGACUCAAUAGAGUAUGAGAAUUCGAGUCAACAACUUUGGUAAUUAUAAUAAUCUUUCUUAUUCCUUUCUGAACUCCUCUUCGUUAGAGUUUAACGUGAGGCGUAUUAUGCUUUCUACCACUGAUGACGACACUUUAUUCCAACGAACCCACUCUUGGAAGGUAUAAUAGAGUUAUAAAAAAGGAUCACAAAAAUUAAUGUUGUAUAUUGACAAAAUUCGACUUUGUAUAUUAACAAAAUUUGAUGUUAAUUUAAUGUCGAAUUUUUUAGAUUCGACGUUAAUUUAACGUCUCAUGAUAUGACGUCGUUUGCAAAUUUGUCGUUAAAAGUAAAAAAUAUUCGACGUUUAUGCGAUUUUUGUACAUGAUGUAAGAUACAUAGAAGCCAAGGUCGUUUAUGUUAAGUUCAGUUUAUUGUUAAUAAUCUGAAUUGUUGCAAAGACUCUAUAAUCUCA